GCAAGCAGGCGAAGAAGCAGUAAAGUGUGUGCGCGAAUUACUUCGGUGAAAAAGUUGUUUUCAAUUACAUAAAUUUCGUGGUGCGUUCAAAUAAGUAUGUAUGUAAAUAAACUGUGCAAGAAAUGUGUUAAAAGUGUGGAGAAGCAAAAGCAACCAUCAACUUUGAAUGCCUUGCUCAGCUUUCAAUACCGGGUAUAACUACAACAACAAAGGAGAUAGAGAAAGAGAGAGAGAGAGAGAGAGAGAAAGAGUCUUUGCUUGAAGCAUUUGUGGCUCAAUUGCACUAUCGGACAGAGUUGCCUGUGAAAGUGAGAAGCUGCAUUGACUAGCUCUCCUUCUCUCCCUCUUUCGCUCUCUCUCUGGUAGUAGUGGCGCCACCUGGCGGCUAUUGUUUGCCAGUUAUGUAAAUUUAUGAUUAUUUUGCGUGUUUCUGGCCAUGAUGAAGAGGCUGUCAACCCAACAACAACAAGACCUAACAACCAACCAUCCAACGAACGAACGCAGCAGCAGGCCUAAAGACAAAAAGACAAUAGAAGAGCCCCGGAAAUAAAAAAUGCUGCAAUAUAGUGUGUGAUGGAAAGUAUGCUAUAUAUUUUAUGCAACACAACAACAACUUGAUAAAAGACGGGAAACUCAACACUUCAUACACGUUAUUAAGAAGUCGUCAAUAUAUCAAACUAUCAUAGACUGCAUGUAUUAUCCUAAGGUCACUUUAAUAUUUCUGAAUUACGUAUUUUAAUUCUCA